rfam:Agrobacterium tumefaciens str. C58 circular chromosome, complete sequence.
UUUUGGCGAUCUGGUUGUCUUUUUAUCCCUCCUCUCUGAGACGCUGCGCUGUUCAAAGAAACUUGACUUUGAGACCCUUCCAACCUACGUACUUCGCCAUCGAUAUUUGUUUGACGACCAGAGCUUCGGCGUCUUUCCAGACGCUCACGACGAUCUUUUCCUUCAAAUUCGACCCAAGUCCGCACUGCUUGCAGUGCAAAUACAAUUGCCAACGGAAGGAAAUCGUU